AGAGAGAGAGAGAGAGUGAGCGAGAGAGAGAGAGGGAAAAUAGAUGACUACAAUGGAGUAGCUGCUUUAAAAAUCAUUUGAUUAUAUAUACUAUUCUGCUCAAAAUCCAGUAUCCAACUAUUAAAAGUGAAGCGAGAGAAAACAAGCAGUUCCUGUUGUAAUGGGGGACCAACUCUGGUAAAUAAAUCCACCCCAAAUCUAGAGAAGGCCCUGAACAACUUACCUUUGGAUACCUCUGAUCUCAUCCCCUCUCACAUGUCUGAGAAUUUGUCUACCACA
rnacentral:lncRNA from 1 species